rnacentral:lncRNA from 1 species
UGUAAAUCCAAGUUAUCUUUAAAAACAUCAAGGAUCUAACAAACACUGCAUAAGAAGCAGUUGCGACAGUAUAUGACUGAGAGUUUGUGGUGGGUGGCCAACUAUAGGAGCAGUGGGCAAAGUGGGUAUUGAGAGGUAAUCAGGGCAAGGUUCCUACAGAAGCAAACCCUGACAGGCCCUGAGAGGAGGUGGAGCCAACUGAGGGGUCACUCCAGGUGUAGUAACCAAGGCAAGAGGAAGGGCAGAUGACCUGCGGGGGACAUACUGCAGGGGCCAGUGGGCUGAGGCAGGUGUUUCACUGAGGGUCAGCAGGAAAGCAGGUUGGACUACUCUAGGGAAGGCAGGGCUGAAGGAUCACUAGGACCCAGCAGAGGAGUCUGAGCAGGUGACACUGUGCUACAGAUUCUCAUUCAGCGAAGGACCCAGUGAGAUGGUGUAUACAGAUGCUCCUGGACUUAGGGUACCACUACAUCCCAACAAGGGCAUCAUUAAGUUGAAGAUACUGAAAGCCACAACUAACCUAUAGGACAUCCUGUCUCAGCAGCACAGAACGCAGCAGUCACAGGCUCCCCGUGGACAUGGCGCAGCUGCCUGGGGCCUGCCACUGGCCGCUGGAGCUGGGAGAGAGUUGGGGUGGCUGAAUUGGGAGUUAGUGAUCACUAGAGCCCACUCCCUUGGGGAGGGAGGCAGGAAAGAAAGAGGAGAGGACACAUUCCAAAGCAUUUAAAGCAGUAGAAUCAUAGAUUGGAGUGACGGAUGGAUUUGGAAGAUGAAGAGGGAGGAGUAGAAGAUGAUUUCUGGGUCAUGCUUAUGAGACGGGUGA